UGAGCCUGCUAACAGCGUGGUUCUGAUGCGUUCAGACUGGCUGCCGUGCUGUCGGACUGUCAGGAGGCUCAGAGACGUCUGGACUCACUCCGCUCUCAGAAAAGAGAGCAGGAGCAGCAGCAGCUGGAGGAGCAGGGAGCUGCUGAGAGCAGACUGAAGGAGCUCCAAGAGGAGCAGCAGCGGCUCGACGCCUCCGUACAGGAGCUGUUGGAGCAGCAGGAGGCGCUGCUGAGUCAGAGCAGGUCGACAGUCUCAGGUGUGAAAGAAGAUGAACAGAAACUUGUUUGUCUGAAGACGGAGCUGAGUUCCCACAGAGCAGCGCUGAAACAGGUGCUGCAGGAGCUGCUGG